rnacentral:rRNA from 1 species
UACGGAGGCAGCAGUGGGGAAUAUUGCGCAAUGGGGGGAACCCUGACGCAGCAACGCCGCGUGAGUGAUGAAGGUCUUCGGAUUGUAAAGCUCUGUUUUCUAGGACGAUAAUGACGGUACUAGAAGGAGGAAGCCACGGCUAACUACGUGCCAGCAGCCGCGGUAAU